GACGAACGCUGGCGGCGUGCCUAACACAUGCAAGUCGAGCGAGUGAAUCUCCUUCGGGAGUGAAGCUAGCGGCGGACGGGUGAGUAACACGUGGGCAACCUGCCUCAUAGAGGGGAAUAGCCUUUCGAAAGGAAGAUUAAUACCGCAUAAGAUUGUAGCUUCGCAUGAAGUAGCAAUUAAAGGAGCAAUCCGCUAUGAGAUGGGCCCGCGGCGCAUUAGCUAGUUGGUGAGGUAACGGCUCACCAAGGCGACGAUGCGUAGCCGACCUAAGAGGGUGAUCGGCCACAUUGGAACUGAGACACGGUCCAGACUCCUACGGGAGGCAGCAGUGGGGAAUAUUGCACAAUGGGGGAAACCCUGAUGCAGCAACGCCGCGUGAGUGAUGAAGGUCUUCGGAUUGUAAAGCUCUGUCUUUAGGGACGAUAAUGACGGUACCUAAGGAGGAAGCCACGGCUAACUACGUGCCAGCAGCCGCAGUAA
rnacentral:rRNA from 1 species